GUAUUUCUUCUAACUGUAAAACUAUAUAUGUGACUAUCUCAACAUACCACUAAAGCAGUUAUUAUACUGAGACCAUCACACCAUAGGGAUAAUCAUUGUUGACAUAUCCUGAGUAGCAAUAAUAAUUCCCCUCAUACCCUUCUCAUUAUACAGAAGAAAAGGGGAAAAUAUAAAAAAAGAAGAAAGAGUAAAAGAGAAAAGUGAAAAAAAGAUGAAGCUUUGCAGGCUCUUGAAAAAUUAUUUAAAUCCUGAUCCUGUUGUAUCCUAAAAGCAUAUUUACUUCUCUAUUCCUUGUUCUAGUUCUUAACUGACCAAAAGUCAUACAUCUCAGAACUUUUACUGUGAAUGCUGUCGAGUACCUAAAGCCACACAUCCCCAGCUGAGGCCCAGUGAGAUUUUCUGUAGCCUUAGACUAGUAUGAGUAGGAUGAGAUCUGGAAACACAUUGAGGUCAACACAGGCAUGUGCGAACACACACACACACACACACAGAGACAGAGACAGAGACAGAGACAGAGAGAGAGGCACCAACUUCUUUUCCAACUUUGAAUCAAAUCAGGGAUAUGUGUUCAUCCCCAGCCAGUUUUCUUUCUAAAGGCAAUGACCAGGCAAGAUUGUGAAGAAUUACACUGAAACCUGAGGAUGAGGAUAAACUUAUCACUUGAAACCAAACUACUCUGGAGAUGGCUGACCUAAUGAACAGCAUGCCCCCCUGAACACCUUGUGGAAGAGUGAGUCUGAGUCCGCCAGCACUAAGUGUCCAUGCCCCUAAGAUUGGGAGAUCCCAAGCUGUAGAGCGGGAAGGACUGCCUGCAGAUCCUGCCACUGCUCAUGAUCACAUCAGAAAUCUCUUAUUGACUCUUGCUGGUUUUAUAAGCCAGAAAUGCAUUUUUAUAAAAACAAACCUAGUAUCCAUACCCUUGAGGAAGAAGCAGUAAGGGUACUAUAUUUCAAUGUUUGGACAAUAUUCAUGAGCCAUAUUUUCUCUAUUCAUUCAUUAGCAAACAUAAUCUCCACGUCUCGGCUAUCAUCAAUAAUCCUUCCAUGACCACAGUUGUGCUAAAAUCUCAAGAAGCUCAACAAAAAGUAUUCUGCCAAGAAACAAUAUGCUUGGAAACAUUCUAACAGCUAAAUGACCGGUCACUGAAGGACAAAUACUGUGUGAUUCCCCCCUAUGAAGUGGGAUGAUGUAUGAAGUAUCUGACAUAUCAAAUAUACAGAACAAGAAAGUAGAGUUGUAGUUGUCUGGUUUGAAGAAAGAAUAAAAUAGUUAUCACCCAGUAGGUAAAAAGUUUCAGGUGUGCAAGACAGAAAAGUUUCAGCAAUAUACUGUAAAACAUAAUGCAGAAAUGCUAUAGUAAUAUACACUUAAAAUUCAGCUGAUGAAGCUGGGCAAUGAUGUUGCAUGCCUUUGAUCUUAGCCCUCAGGAGGAAGAGGCAGUGGCUCUCUGAAUUCGAGGCCAACCUGAUCUACAGAGUGAGUUCCAAGAUAGCCAGAGCCAUGCAGAGAAACCCUGUCUCGAAAAGCAAAAUAAAACAAACAAACAAACAAAAAUUCAACUGAUGAGAUAAAUUUGAUCCUUAGGAUCCACAUGGCAGAAUGUGAAAAUCUAUUCCUGCAAAUUGUCCCCUGAGUCCCACUUGCCUGCCUUGGCAUAGGCAUGUACACACACACACACACACACACACACACACACACACACACACACUAAAUAAACAAGUAGCAAAUAAAAACUGUACUAUAUGUGUUUUCAUAUGUGACAUAAUUAAUGACACUCUUACAAUCUUAUGACGGUCUGCACAAAGGGAAAGGCCUAACUUGUAGGAGCUGCAGCUGAAGGAGAGAAACUGUGUUAGUUAUCCCAUUGCCCGAUCGACAUUCACUAACCCCAGCUCAUCCCGGCAUCUGUAGAUACUACUCAAAAUGCCCUAUGUGCAUUUUUCCAGUGGAAGAAACCUAAUCAAUAAUACUUAACAACAACAAAACAAUACAAGCUGAAAAGCACAUUUUAGGUGAAGUAGUUGCCAAAAUAAGGGGGAAAAUCAGAGGGACAAAAUUAUCCAAAGAAUAUUUGAGGAAUGCUAACUGCGUUUUAAUUAUAGUUCAGUGCACACACAUGUAGAUAAACAACUUCACUCUAAACUACAGAUUUCAUUACAUAAAAAAGGAAUGGACUUUCAUCACCAAAGGCCAAACAGGUAUGUUGGCAGAUCAAUUACUUCAGAGAAUCAAAAAUGAAACACAGAGGGUUGCUAGAAAUUGUGAGAAAAAAUAAGAUAUUUGGAGAAAAAUACUCUAGAAUCAAUGUAGAAAUAAAAUACAUCCUAAGGAGACAAGCAAAGAACAGGUGAGAGAAAACUAAAAUUGAACUGAGAGAAAGUAAUAACACCUUACCUUGAAGUUUGAUAAAUAGUAGUCAUUUUACAGUCUGUAGCAAUAAUAAACAUUAAAGUAAAUUGAGGGAAAAGAUACCACCUAUAGCACUUAUAAACAUUAAAAAAGACCAAAACACUUAGUAAAUAGCAGGAUUAAUGAAGACAGCCAGACAAUUUUAUUAAAAUAAUCAAGUAAUGGCUAAACCAAAUAGGUGGGUACUUAGGUGUGAAGAAGUGGCAUAAAAGUGGUAAUCUCUCCCUACUUAAUAUGCAAAUUUAACAGAAGUAUGGACAGAAUCCCAAUACGACUUUAAAUACGAUUGGAUAGAAUGGUUUGAUUUAUGCAUAUGAUAUUUAUAGGUAGUUGCCAAACAAUGGCCAAUAAAACCAUGAAGUAGAAAAAUGAUGAGAUGCUUACAAACUUAAAAGUGGUACAUUAUAACAGAGGUGUUAUGUACUGAGGCCAGCAGAAAAAGAGACAGCCCAGACUGGACCUCACUAUACAUUCAUACAUACAUGCAAUGUAGAUGCAUGGAUAUUUAGACAAGUACAGAAGGAUCAUUAGAUAAACAUGUAAGCAUAACUCUCCAGAAAUAAAAACAUUCAUCAUCAUUUAAAAUCACAUGCAAAACAGAAAUGAUAUGUAAAUUAUUCACUUACUAAAAACAAAGGACAGAAUCAAUGGGAAAGAACAGGAGAAUCUAGAUAAAAUUAGGCUCCCAUAAUUAAAUAUUUAUACAAACACACAAUCAGAGAUAUACAUACAAAGGGGGUAAACCCUUUCUGAAGCAAACUCUCAAUAAGUCAACAAUAGCAUUAGAAAAAUAUAUUUUCAGAGCCAAUGGUAGAGCAAAGGUUGUCUGUAAUAUCAUAAAUAAAAUAUUAAAAUUAAUCAAAACCAAAGGACUCAAUAGAAAUAUGGUAAAAGUCUGUGAAAUCACAAAUCAUAGACAAAAAAAUUGCUUGAUUUUACCAAUAUUGCUGAAAACACAACAAAAAUCAAUGAAACAUCAUGGUUCCAAAAAUUAAAAACUGGGGCAGUGUCUAUGAAGAGAAGAUCCACCAGCACAUUGAAGGGAAUGUGAGUGUGGGAAUCCAUUUAGAGCAUACUACAACGCCAGCACUUUUCCAGGACAAUCUUUAGCCUGUUCCUUAGCUCAUCGGCACUUACAUACAGGAAUACUGUUGGUUCUAUGUUCAUUCUGACCAAAAAGUAAACACGGUAACAAAAUCCUGUUAGGCAAAUGCCCGUAUGUAGAGACAAAUCUGAAGGGGUGCAAAUCCAGCACAGAGCAGCAGGUCAUUUACCGGUAACAGCAAUGAGUUAGCACUCCAACACAUGAGUGAGCAAACCUGGACACCAUCAUCCACUCACACAGGACACAGAUAAAUAUGCAAACCUCACAUUAGCAAUGUGACUGAUUUCAAAUGCACACGUGAGAAACUAAAAACAGCACAGGUGCAUUUUUGUCUUUAUAGCAUCACAUGAGAUGAAACAUGGAGGGGUUAACUCACUAUCACCAAAUUACUCUGGAUGCAGAAGUGGGCAGAAGUGUUAAAGAUGGAGAGCAGAGAGAGCCACAUACCCAAAAAAAGACAAUUGGGAAUUUCAAAUCCCUACAAAGGUAUGCAAAGUUUCUUAUGGAAACCUAAUUACAUGUGAGUGUAUUUGUGACCGUCAAGAACCAGGCAGUGGGGCUGGAGAGACGACUCAGCAUUUGAGAGCAAUGGCUGCUCAUGCAGAGGACUUGGGCUCAGUUCCCAGAAGAAACAGGGCAGCUAUGCAUCUGUCACUCCAGGUUUAGAGGAUCCAACACCUUCUUCUGGCCUCUGUGGACACCAGGAGUGUUUCUCUGUUAUGCUUAAGAAAUGUCUGAAAGAGAAGGAAUCUGUAAGCUUUGAUUGUAAGUGAUUUGACUGCAUACCCAAGUUCUACCCCAACAAAGAUACAAUGAAUAUAAAAGAAGUAAUGGAGCUUUUGAGAGAAGCAGCUGCCCUGGAAGAGGAAGACUCAAGCUUUUCACCUCCUCAUUCAACACCAUGCUCAAGAGAUACCCCACUGCAUCAGCCACUGGGGCCACUAACAAACACAGGACAAUGUGUCAGGCUGCAGGGUACCAGAGAGGGAGGAUUGUGAGCACCCAACUUCUAUUUCUCAGCCUCAUGUCAAAGCUAUGAAGGGAAAGAAUAACAAGGAAAGGAUAUGGACAUUGUCAGUGCCCCCACCCCGCCCUGCCCCACAGCCUGUUCCCUGGAGAUUCAUGGCAAGCCUGGGAACUGGACAGAAAGAUGCCUUAAAUUCAAAUAGCUGAAAGUGAUGUUGUGUGAUGUAUUUUUAAUAUCAGAAAAUGUCAGUCGUAAUGGCCAAUGUCUGUUUUAAUAUUUUUUCUGGAAAAGCUGAGAGAUUUUCCCCAGAGGCUAGAAGGGGAGUUCCAGUCAUUGGAGGACAGGGGUGAGAGGAAGGGCAAACCUGUUUUGUGGAUGUUCCAGACUCUACGGUGACUUAAGCAAACAGCUUGCCCUGUUUGAUCUAACAUUGUGUACGUUGCUCACCCUUAAAUAUUUUUCAGGGUUCUACUUUAUCAUGACCCCAUUUCUAUAGUUUUUUUUUCAUAAUGUCUCUGAAGAAAUUGGUCUUUUCUUCUCAUGGCUUUUAAGUGCAAGCAGCCAUGCAGCCCUGUAGCCUUGGGUAUGGUCUGUCCCCUCUGAAACAGUGUGGUACUUCGAGACAUUGAUGUGUUGCUUUUAUUUCAUCCCAGAGCUUAGAACAAUCUCUUACUCAAACCAAACCCCUGGCAUUAACUAAGUGAAUUGCUAGAAAAUGAAUUGAUGAGUACAAUCAGACUCCAAGACGAGUCGAUACUUGCUGCAUUCCAGACUUCUGUGGGAUAGAUCUAGAGAGCAACCAUAGAAAGAAGAAUACAUUCCAUGCUUUCCUGGAGUUGACUCUGCCUGAGCUAGUAAUGCAGAAGUACAAGUGUCAUGUCUGUAUGAAGAAUAUGGCUGUUCCUGUCUUAGAAUGUGUCAGGCCUCAGAAUGAGAAUUAAAGACAUAGAAGUGACUCUAACCCUUGUCUAAAGUGUUACAAAUAAAGCUUACAAGUGAGUCUCAGUUCAGGAAA